ACUCCUACGGGAGGCAGCAGUGGGAAUAUUGGACAAUGGGCGAAAGCCUGAUCCAGCCAUGCCGCGUGUGUGAAGAAGGCCUUUUGGUUGUAAAGCACUUUAAGCGAGGAGGAGGCUACUGAGAUUAAUACUCUUGGAUAGUGGACGUUACUCGCAGAAUAAGCACCGGCUAACUCUGUGCCAGCAGCCGCGGUAAUACAGAGGGUGCGAGCGUUAAUCGGAUUUACUGGGCGUAAAGCGUGCGUAGGCGGC
rnacentral:rRNA from 1 species